rnacentral:rRNA from 1 species
CACGCCGUAAACGAUGAGUACUAGGUGUAGGAGGUAUCGACCCCUUCUGUGCCGCAGUAAACACAAUAAGUACUCCGCCUGGGAAGUACGAUCGCAAGAUUAAAACUCAAAGGAAUUGACGGGGGCCCGCACAAGCAGCGGAGCAUGUGGUUUAAUUCGAAGCAACGCGAAGAACCUUACCUGGACUUGACAUACCCUGAAUAUCUUAGAGAUAAGAGAAGCCCUUCGGGGCAGGGAUACAGGUGG